ensembl:lncRNA
GACCACCUUCGCUGGUCUCCAGCCACCGUGUGUGCCACAGGGUUGUAUUCUCACAUCGUCCCCUCUCUCCAUAGUGUCCAUGUCUUUUGCUGUAGUACUUUUCCUGUCUCCGUCUGUUGUUUUCCAGUCCCUGUUCGUUGUGUGUUACCUCUGGCUUCAGCAGAGUGUCCUUCGUGGGAAGCAGGGUCCUGGUCCUCCUGCUCAGAAGUCUCUGUGCCGGGCUUGUGUCGAGACCCUGGCUCGGCGUGUUGCGAUGAUCCAGCAUGGCCAAGUACGGAUCUUGUCGUGCUGCUGCAGCCUUCACCAUCAGGCGCUUGGCUGUCUUCACCGCUGACUCUGCUUUCCCCUUACUCUGCGGGUAUCCUGGCAACGAUGUCCUUUGUUCAAAGUCCCACUUUCAGCUGAAGUGCUGAAACUCUAGUGAUGCAUAUUGGGGUCCAUUGUCUGAGAUAACAAUGUCCGGAAUCCCUUGUCGGGCAAAGUGGGCCUUGAGUUUCUUGAUCACUGUGUUACUCUUCGUGUCAGGUAGAUAAUCGACCUCCCAAAAGUUUGAAUAAUAGUCUACUGUUGAUCAGAUAGUCUUUAUUGUGAAAGGAGAAAAGGUCUGUUCCUACCUUGGCCCAGGGUCUGCUUGCCAUGUCAUGUGGGUGUAGUGUCUCUCUUUGUUGCUUCAGGUCCACUGACCUACAUAUGUCACAUUUGGAGAUGAAAGUCUUGAUCUCCUCAUUCAUUCCAAGCCAGUAUACACACUCCCUCGCUCGUCUCAGACAUCCCUCUACUCCCAGGUGAGAGGAGUGGAUCCUGUGAGUGAUGUCCACCCUGAGUGCGUCAGGUAUCACGGCUCUGUCCCCUCGGAACACUAUGUCAUCCUGGAAACUCAGUUCAUCUUGGAAGGUGUGGUAGUGCCUGAUGUCACUUGCCCUGAUGGCACUCAGCCUCUCUGCUGAAAUGGGUAGGUAGCCAACCAUGUUUACAGUCUCUAUAUCUGUCUCACUCUCACCCCUAGUGCUCUCUGGUAAGUAUGCUCUGCUCAGCAUGUCUGCAAGUAACAUAUUCCUGCCUGGAACAUAGGUCACACUAAUAUCAUACUGCUGUAGCCUGAGUAACAUUCUCUGCAGUCUCUUAGGUGCACUAAGUAAGGGCUUGCUGUGUAUAUUCUCUAGAGGCUUGUAGUCACUUUGCACUGUGACCUCUCUACCAUAAGUAUACUGAUGGAACUUUUCCAUCCCAAACACAAUGGCUAAACAUUCCUUCUCUAUUUGGGCAUAGCCCUUUUCAGGUGGUGUGAGUGCCCUACAGCCAAAUGCCACCGGUUUACCUUUCUGUGUCCGAUGCGUCACACUGAAGUGUCAACUCCUCUUCCUUAUUGUAGUAUUGUAGGACUGGUGCCUCCAGGGCCUGCAUGAGCUUUCUUUGGAACACUUCCGGUGCUGGGCUUGUUCCCAUCGGCAUUCUCAGCCAGCGGAAGCGACCAAAUGGGGUGGCGAAUGUGGUGAGGUAGCUUGACUCUUCUUCUAGUCUGACGUGCCAGAAACCUUGCUUCACAUCGCAUACUGUGAACACCUUUGCCUUCGACAUCUCCGGCAGGAUGUCAUCUAUAGUUGGGAAAGGAUAGUGACUUCUUUUUAGUGCCCGAUUCAGAGGUUUUGGGUCUAUACAGAUCCUCAGCUUCCAUUAGGUUUUUUCACUGCGACCAUGCUACUGAUCCAGUCAGUGCUGCGUUCCACUGGUGUGAUUAUCCCUCUUCUCUCUAGAUCUUUGAGUUCCUCUUGUAGAGGUGUCAUCAUAGCUACAGGCACUCUGCGCUUUGGCAGUUUCACUGGUGGUAAUCUGUCAUCUAUCUCUAUUUUAUAUUCACCCUCCAUGCAACCAUCCCAGGAAUCAGGAAUAAGGAAACAUUUAUUAGCCAAAAAAUGUCAAACAUACAAGGAAUUUGUCUUGGCGGUUAGUGCGCGACAGUAGACGGACAAGACAGCAGUGCACAAGUAAUAAAAUAAAGUGGAAUGAAAUGCUAAUGCAAUGGGUUAGUAGAAUAAGGCUAAGGCUAUGGGUUAGUAUAAAACAAGGGAAUAAAG